ACCACCUCUGUAUUCUCUCAUCUCAUCUCCUCACCCUCAAACCCUAGCCCUUCAACUACUGAUCUCCCUUCUCCAUUCUUCUCUGGUGAUCUCUCAUCGACUCCUAAGCCUCCAAUGGCUUCUCUCAUGCCAUGCCUGCCUUCUCUAAGUUCUUCAAGGGCCCAGGGCCACACUGAAUUGCAUCCAGGGUUUGUCAUUUAUCUGUUCUUGGCUACUCCAGUGUUAUUUCAAGCAAAAUCAUAUUGUUUUUGUUACGAUCCUUGGGAUUCUACAUAGGUUCUUUCAUCUCUAUAAGGUUUUCUUCUGAAACCCUUAUUUCUUCCUAUAUUUCUUAGAUAUCUCCAUAUCUAG
rnacentral:lncRNA from 1 species